rnacentral:rRNA from 1 species
UACGGAGGGUGCAAGCGUUAUCCGGAUUCACUGGGUUUAAAGGGUGCGUAGGUGGGUUGGUAAGUCAGUGGUGAAAUCUCCAGGCUUAACUUGGAAACUGCCAUUGAUACUAUCAAUCUUGAAUACCGUGGAGGUCAGCGGAAUAUGUCAUGUAGCGGUGAAAUGCUUAGAUAUGACAUAGAACACCAAUUGCGAAGGCAGCUGGCUACACGAAUAUUGACACUGAUGCACGAAAGCGUGGGGAUCAAAC